CAAUAGCGUAUAUUAAAGUUGUUGCGGUUAAAAAGCUCGUAGUUGGAUUUCUGCUGAGAACGACCGGUCCGCCCUUUGGGUGUGUAUCUGGCUCUUUCUUGGCAUCUUCUUGGUGAACGUUGCUGCACUUGACUGUGUGGAGCGCUACCCAGGACUUUUACUUUGAGGAAAUUAGAGUGUUUCAAGCAGGCAUACGCCUUGAAUACAUUAGCAUGGAAUAAUAAGAUAGGACCUCGGUUCUAUUUUGUUGGUUUCUAGAGCUGAGGUAAUGAUUAAUAGGGAUAGUUGGGGGCAUUCGUAUUUAACAGUCAGAGGUGAAAUUCUUGGAUUUGUUAAAGACGGACUACUGCGAAAGCAUUUGCCAAGGAUGUUUUCAUUG
rnacentral:rRNA from 1 species